rnacentral:rRNA from 1 species
CCGGCGCACGGGUGAGUAACACGUACGCAACCUGCCUGCCACAGCCGGAUAAUCGGGAGAAAUUCCGUCUAAUACGGCAUAAUGCAUCGACGGGACAUCCUGUUGGUGCCAAAGGUUAAUUCCGGUGGCGGAUGGGCAUGCGUCGCAUUAGUUAGUUGGCGGUGUAACGGACCACCAAGACGACGAUGCGUAGGGGUUCUGAGAGGAAGGUCCCCCACACUGGUACUGAGACACGGACCAGACUCCUACGGAAGGCAGCAG